rnacentral:lncRNA from 1 species
GUCUCCGAAAAUCAAGCACCGGCUAUAGCCUAAGCUUUAACCCACCACCUGAUCCCCCUACUUUGGACCAUCACCACCCCUCGUCGUGCACCUUCUCUGCUAACCCCCACCCCCUACCCCUCCCUCAACACAGAAGAACAAACCCUAACCUUAGUGUCAUAGACCACCGAGCCAACUUGACCCAACUUGACCGCAGGCCCGGACCCAAGCCUAUUCGAAACUCCGAACUGAACCCAAACCAUCAAUCUAACAUAGACCUUCUGAUGAGGACAUUGAUUAUAGACUCAACACUAGACCUAAAUUAGAACCCAGCCCU